rnacentral:rRNA from 1 species
AGGGGCCUACGGGAGGCAGCAGUAGGGAAUCUUCCAAAAUGGGCGAAAGCCUGAUGGAGCAACGCCGCGUGGGUGAAGAAGGUCUUCGGAUCGUAAAACCCUGUUGUUAGAGAAGAAAGUGCGUGAGAGUAACUGUUCACGUUUCGACGGUAUCUAACCAGAAAGCCACGGCUAACUACGUGCCAGCAGCCGCGGUAAUACGUAGGUGGCAAGCGUUAUCCGGAUUUAUUGGGCGUAAAGGGAACGCAGGCGGUCUUUUAUGU